rnacentral:rRNA from 1 species
AACGAACGCUGGCGGCAUGCCUAACACAUGCAAGUCGAACGAGACCUUCGGGUCUAGUGGCGCACGGGUGCGUAACGCGUGGGAACCUGCCCUUAGGUUCGGAAUAACUCCCCGAAAGGGGUGCUAAUACCGGAUAAUGUCUUCGGACCAAAGAUUUAUCGCCUUUGGAUGGGCCCGCGUUGGAUUAGCUAGUUGGUAGGGUAAAAGCCUACCAAGGCGACGAUCCAUAGCUGGUCUGAGAGGAUGAUCAGCCACACUGGGACUGAGACACGGCCCAGACUCCUACGGGAGGCAGCAGUGGGGAAUAUUGGACGAGGGGCGAAAGCCUGAUCCAGCAAUGCCGCGGGAGUGAUGAAGGCCUUAGGGUUGUAAAGCUCUUUUACCCGGGAUGAUAAUGACAGUACCGGGAGAAUAAGCUCCGGCUAACUCCGUG